GGGGCAUUUUCUGCGUCUUCUUCAUGAGUUCCAGUCUCUGAUUCCUCAAUAAUGGUGAUGUGAUGACAUGAAGUUUCACCUUCCCCUUGUUCCGACCCUUCUUUUUCAGGAUUCGUUAGUAUAACAUCAUGUCUUUUUACCUUUAACGAACCUUGACUUGUAUUGAGAGUAACAAAAGUUUUUCUUUUCAUGCGAGAAGGAACGUUGCUAUGAAUUUCUCCAUUUUCCUUUGUCUCGCAAGGAAACUUCUUACUACGAUAAUUCUCGACAUCUGUAUGCUUAAUUCGACGCCAAACUUUCACACGAGACAUUGGUUCCUUCUUCUUUGUAUCUAUGUUGGAAUCAAUGUUGUCGUGUGAUCCUUUAUCCCCGAGAUGAUUAAAAAUCGGAGCACGGGGUGCUUGUACAUUUUUCUUUUUAGACACACCUAGCCUUUCAAAGGCUGAUGGUCUUGUAGUUGUCAAGGCAUGGCAUGUG
rnacentral:lncRNA from 1 species